UGAACUAUGGGUUCAAACUCCGCAGCUAUAAAAAAAAAAAAAAAAAAACCCUCCCUCCUCCCACGCUGCCUCAAGCUCUUCUUUACCCAGCCGUGCCGGAGUUGGAGAAGAAAGCUAUGAACGAGUUGACAGCCUUACGCAAUGCUGUUCGGAACUGUUCUGUCCAUCGGGUUUGUUGCUGCAGUUCUUCAGCGAUGCCUUCACCGGAGGAACAACCGCGGUUCGCCGAGAAUACUCCUCGGUUCUUUUACCCAACUCCGCCAACAGCGACAGGCCCUGUGUCGCACCCCGUAGUCACUCAGUAAAAGUUCUUCUAUAUUGUCUUGUCUCGUCGAGUGGGGCUGAUAACACCAAUUUCUUGAUUCUGUCUUCCGAUUUCAACCUAAAUGAAGAGUCGGAGUUGCUGUAAGAUUGAGACCUCAGAUUUCUGAAGAGCAGGUAGCAGAUGCAGAUUUUGCUUAUUGUGUGGAGUUGCAAUCAGAGCUUAAGAGGUUGAAACUUUGUAAAAAUAAUUGGGACUCGGACACAUAUGAGUUUGAUGAGCUUCUUAAUGAAUUCGCAUCACAAAAGAGAGGAUAUGAAUUUGUUGCAAAACCUGUUGUUGAGGAAGUUGGCAUUAAAUUGCUAAAGUCACUAACCAGAGAUGAUUUAAAGAAUAUUUGGUGAUAACUUCCUUGAAUGGAUUUCAUUUCCUGUGUUUGAGCAGUUGUCCAUUCCAGUGAAUUUAGGUUGGUGGAUUCCUUCUGUCAAGUUUUCCUCAUGCUACGAAGGCGAUCAUCAAAGAUACUAGGAAUUCACGCAGUUUUGGUUUCAUUAGUUGUGAUUCUUUUGAGGCGUUGGAUGCUGCCAUUGAGGCUAGGGUUAGGUCCCCGGGAUCAUAACGCCGUAAAAGAGAUCUGAUUCUCCUUGCAUUUCUACUCCUCAUCUGUCAAGGACAUAAAGGAAAUCGGCACUCUGAUCUUGGAAGACCAAACCUUUAAUCACCCAAGAUUGUAUAUGGCUUCAUCUUCGGGUGAGCAUCAUGUAAUUGGUGUAGAAGAUGGCACAAUGCUGGCGGAUCUUUACAUGAAUCUAUCAUAAAGAGGGAAUAAGAUGAUGGAUGACAACAAAUUGGAAGUGAAGUGAAGGAAAACUCAUAUUGUGUAGUUCAAGAAUGAGUUCAUUAAUUUGGUGUUGAUAUUCUGGGAAAAAAUAUUCUGGUGAUUGAUAUAAGUAACGUUGUCGGAUUGCCUGCAACUUUACUUCUUCAGAAACAUAUGCGAAAGUGACUAUUCUUCAUCCACUACCAAAAAUCCAUAACAAAUUUGCCAUGAAGCUGAUAUCUUAAUUGCAGCUGCAAAAGUACCCAAUUUGGUUUGUGCCUCAAUUUUCGUAGAUAUUUAAAGAUGUAAUUAGGAUGUCCGUCAAUCAUUUCCUUGUAAUUACUUUUG